rnacentral:rRNA from 1 species
UUAGGACGAACGCUGGCGGCGUGCCUAAUACAUGCAAGUCGAACGGUCUUUCUAUGGAAGCUUGCUUCCACUGAGAAGGUAGUGGCGAACGGGUGAGUAACACGUGGGUAACCUGCCCAUAAGAGGGGGAUAACAUCCGGAAACGGGUGCUAAUACCGCAUAGUUUUCUUGAUCGCAUGAUUGAGAAAGGAAAGACGGCCUUUGUGCUGUCGCUUAUGGAUGGACCCGCGGCGUAUUAGUUAGUUGGUGAGGUAACGGCUCACCAAGACGAUGAUACGUAGCCGACCUGAGAGGGUGAUCGGCCACAUUGGGACUGAGACACGGCCCAAACUCCUACGGGAGGCAGCAGUAGGGAAUCUUCCGCAAUGGACGAAAGUCUGACGGAGCAACGCCGCGUGAGUGAAGAAGGUCUUUCCGGAUCGUAAAACUCUGUUGUCAGAGAAGAACAAGUUGGAGAGUAACUGCUCCAGCCUUGACGGUAUCUGACCAGAAAGCCACGGCUAACUACGUGCCAGCAGCUGC